rnacentral:rRNA from 1 species
GACGAACGCUGGCGGCGUGCUUAACACAUGCAAGUCGAGCGGAAAGGCCCUUCGGGGUACUCGAGCGGCGAACGGGUGAGUAACACGUGAGUAACCUGCCCCAGACUUUGGGAUAACCCUCGGAAACGGGGGCUAAUACCGGAUACGACACAGCUUCGCAUGGGGUCUGUGUGGAAAGUUUUUCGGUUUGGGAUGGGCUCGCGGCCUAUCAGCUUGUUGGUGGGGUGAUGGCCUACCAAGGCGACGACGGGUAGCCGGCCUGAGAGGGCGACCGGCCACACUGGGACUGAGACACGGCCCAGACUCCUACGGGAGGCAGCAGUGGGGAAUAUUGCACAAUGGGCGGAAGCCUGAUGCAGCGACGCCGCGUGAGGGAUGACGGCCUUCGGGUUGUAAACCUCUUUCAGCAGGGACGAAGCGUAAGUGACGGUACCUGCAAAAGAAGCGCCGGCCAACUACGUG